AUUGAACGCUGGCGGCAGGCUUAACACAUGCAAGUCGAGCGGGGUGAUGGUGCUUGCACUAUCACUUAGCGGCGGACGGGUGAGUAAUGCUUAGGAAUCUGCCUAUUAGUGGGGGACAACAUCUCGAAAGGGAUGCUAAUACCGCAUACGUCCUACGGGAGAAAGCAGGGGAUCACUUGUGACCUUGCGCUAAUAGAUGAGCCUAAGUCGGAUUAGCUAGUUGGUGGGGUAAAGGCCUACCAAGGCGACGAUCUGUAGCGGGUCUGAGAAGAUGAUCCGCCACACUGGGACUGAGACACGGCCCAGACUCCUACGGGAGGAAGCAGUGGGGAAUAUUGGACAAUGGGGGGAACCCUGAUCCAGCCAUGUCGCGUGUGUGAAGAAGGCCUUAUGGUUGUAAAGCACUUUAAGCGAGGAGGAGGCUCUUUUGGUUAAUACCCAAGAUGAGUGGACGUUACUCGCAGAAUAAGCACCGGCUAACUCUGUGCCAGCAGCCGCGGUAA
rnacentral:rRNA from 1 species